CAUUUACAGACACGCCACUGGU
rnacentral:siRNA from 1 species